rnacentral:rRNA from 1 species
GCCAGACUCCUACGGGAGGCAGCAGUGGGGGAUAUUGCACAAUGGGGGAAACCCUGAUGCAGCGACGCCGCGUGGAGGAAGAAGGUCUUCGGAUUGUAAACUCCUGUCCGAGGGGACGAUAAUGACGGUACCCUUGGAGGAAGCACCGGCUAACUACGUGCCAGCAGCCGCGGUAAAACGUAGGGUGCAAGCGUUGCCCGGAAUUACUGGGUGUAAAGUGAGCGCAGGCGGACUGUCAAGUUGGGAGUGAAAACUACGGGCUCAACCCGUAACUUGCUUUCAAAACUGGCGGUCUUGAGUGGUGUAGAGGUAGGCGGAAUUCCCGGUGUAGCGGUGGAAUGCGUAGAUAUCACGCAGAACUCCGAUUGCGAAGGCAGCAUACCGGCGCCCAACUGACGCUGAAGCACGAAAGCGUGGGUAUCGAACAGGAUUAGAUACCCGGAUA